rnacentral:lncRNA from 1 species
UGAUUGUCGUUUACUAAAGAAUUUUAGGUCAGGGAUCCAUGAACUGCAGGAAUUCUGUUCACAUCUAAGUUGGACACGCAAUUGCUAAGCCUUGAGCUCAAAUGCUCAAGGGCACGUUUUUAGCUGCUUGUCAACUUCCAUGUUCACCAAGUAACACAGUUCUGCAACUUUCAUUAACAAAAUCAUUGUGGACUCUCUUACACAGGCCUUCUCUACAAGCAGAUGUCUACAUUUCACUCGUUUGAUUGAAGAGAGCCUUUGUAGCGGCUGGGUGUUCCAUCAGCCGCUCCUUAUCUGCCCCUCUCAACUCAACCAUCAAUCCAGUUCCAUCAUUUCGGUUGGUGUCCUUUGCCUCUUUCUCAUUCACAAAAGUAUUUGUUUUACUCAAUCAACUCAUUCCAACAAUAGUGGAUCAUCAUAGCAAUUGCAUUUUAAUAGCAAAAAACAAAAUAACAAUAAAAGAAAUAAUAUAAAUUAGUGUGAUACAUGCAUUACAUCAGUCAUAAUAUGAAAAGAAUAGAUAAGAAAGUGCAAAGAUUUCCUCAUAGAUCAUAAAACAAUAUCUUCUCCAAGACAGGAACUCCUGCCAGAUAAUAUUAAUUAUGUCAACAUAUCAUGCAUGUUAACAUAUACAGGGAAGUUGUCAGAACUUGGGAGAAACAUGUUCUUCUGGUAAUAUAAAAGAUGAGCAAUAGAUUCUUAGAUCUUUUAUAACCAAUAGAUCAGGAGUUCUGUGAUCUCAAUUUUUUAGAUUUUUCUACAGCCUAGAGAUAGGAUACGUAUGCAUUAUGCAUUUUAGGCCUUUUAGUUACCUAGAAUAGAUCCAAAUUGCCAGCUUUUUGUACAUGUAACAAUAGCCACCCUUGAUUCAAAAAAUUUCAAUAAAUGAGAUAAGAUAACAAUGAUAUGUGAAUGUUGAACUUUCUCAAGUCUCAACCUUCUGAAUGUUUGAAAAGUAUGUACUAGUGAAAAAUCAAAAAGCAGCCUGUGAUGAAAGCUAUAAAAUAUAACAUUUAGCUGCUAUAUGUUGAGGCAGGCAAGAGAAGAUUUAAGAGUCCUAUUUGUUUAGACAUUAGCAUAUAGAGACAUCAUAAGUACAAUCUAGACCUAGCUAGCAUUCAAUAUGAAUAUAGAAAUUUGAAAGCACAGGUUUGAAGAACCUACUACCGAGAGCAUUCAAUAUGAAUAUAGAAAUUUGAAAGCACCAUCAUCAGCCAGGGGCAAGAAGCCUUUGUGGGGGGGAGGAGCAUUUCAGAUAAUAUUUUGCUAGUCCAGGAGAUGAUGGUGGAUUUACAGUGAGCCUCGAGGAGACGAUGUUUGAUGGCUGUGAAGCUGGAUAUGGAGCGCGCUUAUGAUCGGAUCCGGUGGGAUUUUCUUCGGCGAGCGCUUGAGAGCUUCGGAUUUCAUCAACUUUGGAUUGAUUGGGUUCUAGGAUGCGUGCAGGGGCCUAGCUUUUCCAAUUUGGACAACGGCACGCCGUCGCCCUUCUUUCGAGCUACUAUGGGGCUUCGCCAGGGAUGUCCUCUGUCUCCGUAUAUAUUUAUCAUUUGCUCUGAUGUACUUUUCCGUGCUUUGCAUGCAGCCUGUGGGAACCGGGAGUUGGCAUCCUACUGUCCAGCCCCAGCGUCCGGCCCAUUUCUCACUUGCUUUUCGCAGACGAUUGCCUCCUACUUGCUAGGGCGAGAGCAACGGAUGCGAGAGCCCUACAGGGGGUGUUGACAAAGUAUUGCGCGAUGUCCGGGCAGAGAGUCAACCUCCAAAAGUCAGCCAUAUACUUCAGUCCGAGCAUGGAGCGGAGGGUGCGACGGGAGGUCAGGGCGAUUCUGGGGAUGCAAGAACAGGUGGGGCCCCUGGUCUAUCUUGGGAUUCCCCUCACAGGAAGGAGGUUGUGGGUGGAGUGUUCUACCCUAGUGGACAUGGUGCGGAGCAGGCUAGAGGGAUGGAGGGCAUCAUCACUUUCCAUGAUGGGUAGAUUGACGCUGAUUAGGUCAGUUCUGUGCUCCAUGCCAAUCUAUCUGAUGGCACACACUGUUGUGCCAAAGACGGUGUUGCUGGGGAUUGAGCGGCUUAUACGGAGCUUCCUUUAGGGCUCCUUGGGGGGGCCAUGGGGUACCUGGUGGCCUGAGAGCGUGUAUGUCAGCCACUGCAUGAGGGUGGUUUGAGGGUGCCAUCACUGGUGGAGAAGCGUGAGGCACUCCUGGAACGGCGGGCAGUGCAGUUCGUAUUGGAGCCGCAUGGAUUUUGGAGUCAGAUCAUGACGACUAGAUAUGGCCGAGCAGGGUUUGGGGGGCAGGCGAGGGGUGGCCGGAGGUUCUUUAUGUGGCGAGAGAUUGGGGGAUACUUACCUUUGGCCCUGGCGCACUCCAUGUGGCUAAUCAGCGACGGACAGAGCAUUGAUGUGAUGGACCCGUGGGUGGGCACUUUCAUUGAGACAGUGGCCGACGAUGGUCAGCGGUGAGGGGGAGAUAGGGCUUCGGGUGUGUGACCUUCUCAGGCCAAGGGCGGCGGAGUGGGAUGGCGAUAGACUGGGCCAGUUGUUUGGAGAGCAUUUGGAGCACUACUUGUAGAGCUAGAGUCGGAAUCGGCGAUAUUUCUCAGAUUCUUCAGCAGGAGUCAGAGCCGGGCUUAGACUGUCACUGGGUGUGGGGGUUUGGGCUACAUCAGAGGAUUGCUCCUUUCCUCUGGAAGGUGGCCUGAGAGCGCGCCUGCCGACUUGCUCAGAGUUGAGCAGACGAGGAGUGAGCAUCUCUCCCCUAUGUCUGGAUUGUGGGGUGGACGAGUCGGUGGAUCAUAUGUUAUUCCAGUGUAUGUGGGCGAGGGAUGCUUAGAGCCUGCCAGGGAUCCCGGAAGAUGCUUGGAGUCGAAGGGAUUGUUUUCUCGAGGAGGUUCGGCGAUGGUCUGGUAUCCCCUAGAUGCGUCCCGUGGCUAUUAGGGCAACUUGUACAGCUUAUCAAGUAUGACUAGCCAGGAACAUCCGGAUAUUUGGUAAGUCCAGUCCGUCCUCGCAUUUCGUCAUAGAGCGAGCUCGUGCACAGGCAGCAGAGAUCAUCCAUGUUGAUCUAGACCAUAGACUGUUGAUAGCUCAGGAUAUCUGGAGCCCCCACAUUGCUUCAGCAGUUCCUCAUAGGGUAUUCUUUACCCGGGAGCCCCCACCUCCGAGUUUUCUCAAGGUCAAUUUUGACAGCUUAGUAUCGGAUGGAGGUAGGAGGAGAGGGGUUGGCUUCGUCAUCAGGAGCCCGAGCUCCAGAGUGGUAGCAACGGAGGGCUGUCAGAUUUUUGAUACCUCGGCUCCUGGCGCAGAGCUGCAGGCGGCCUGGAUAAGUAUGUGUUACGUACGACGGGUGCUUCAGGCAACUUCAGUACUACUGAAGGGUGAUCAGCUGGGUCCAACAGGGUCCAAGCAGUGACGGAGGAGUUCAUCUCCUAUUCCGCGAUAUUUGGAUGAAGGUGAGAGUGUUGCAUUUUAGGCUAUGCAUGUAUAUUGUGAAGCUAAUGGGGCGGCCGACUGGAUGGCCACAUUUGUAGCGAGCCACUCAGGAGGCACCCUAUGGACUGAGGGUGAGAUGCCCAGAGUACUUCGGGACCUUUUAUUUUCUGAUUCCAUUGGGUGUAUUCGUACCCGUGAUGUAUGAAAUGCUUGUUUCAGCAAAAAAAAAAAGGUUUGAAUGGUAAUAAUGCAUGAAAACUUCAAACAACCAAAAAAAAGCUGCAUGCCACUAUGAUGCUCCUGGUGCCUAUAAGGAGACUCAUAGAGCCAGUUGAGGUAGGAUCCUAGGUAAACAAGGAAACCAUCUCUAGGAAGGAACUGAAGUCUACCAAUAUACAAGUCAUAAAAUAAUAAAGAAGACCUUAUUGAAAAAGGAUAUUUUGCUAAUUAAGGAAAACCACCUUGUAAAUAGAAGUUCAACAAUAAUCCAUUUCAUGCAUAUAACUUCCCUACAACUUACUCGCACAUAAGGAGUAAAAGCCAGCUACGGCAAUUGGCAUGGGCCAGCACACUUGGACUGAUCUAAUCAAGAAGAGAAGGAAACAAUUCCUUCAAGUCAUUUAAUUUGGACCUCUCAAAGAAAAUACUAAUGAAAUAAUGGAGUGGCUAGACUAGGGACUACCAAACCAUCCCGACCGAGCAAUUCGAGGUAUAUCAAACCUACCAGCUGGUAACUGGGAUGAUUCGGUCGAUCGAUCCGGUCUCAAAUCAAAGGCUUCAUUUAACUAAAAAGCGGAUCACCUUGCGUCUCUCCUCAAUCGCGAUCUCUUCCGAAUUCUCUCCCCUCUCUCUCCCUCCAAAUCCAUCUCUUCCCUCUCCCCUCUCUCCUUCUCUCUCAAUCUUUCUCUCGUUUCUUCCCUCUCUCCUGAUCCACCAUACCGACUAUGAUCAUGUUGAUGUCGAUGCGACGACAACUACGGCUAAGGUUAGUUAGGGUUCCGCAUUAGCGCAAGAACACUGCAGCCACCGCCUCCUCUUUUAGCUAUGAUGAAGAUCCUCCGCUGCCGCCUCCACCAUCUUGUCUCCGCUGCCUUCGGCCCCUAUCCUCCUCUAUAUUGGCACCUCCAUAAGGCUGGGUGAAUCCCCUCUCUCUCCCCUCCUCCCUCUCUCUAAUUUCAAUGUGUAUCAGAUCGGUAUGGUAUGCACCGAUAUCGUACCGAACUAUUCUCCGACCAGCACGUCCUCCAAUACCACUUCAGUGAACCUUGGGCCAGACUCCUUUUGAUUUCAUUAAUUGAAUAAUAAAACUGAUUACAACUUGUCUUAUUUAUAUUAGUGAGGUCCAAGUUCCCAAAUUUGAUUCAAAUUCCUUUUCUACUUAAAAGAGGAUAGAAUUUUUCUAAAUUAGUUAAGGAAUUUGUGCUAAGUUGAAAGCCAUCCUAGAGAUAUCUCUAGAUUCUUACAUUAAAUUUGCCGUUUGCUACAUCGCCUAAUUCCUCCAAGAUUGGAAGAUGCACCAUCAAAAUCUUACCUGAAGAGGAUGCUUUUACUUUGAUCGGCCCACUUCAAGGCUUAAAACAUCAUAGCACCCCAACAUUAGUAGGGUGCAAUGAACCCUUAAGGUUUCCACAUCCAUGUAAAACUCAAAAAAGUUACCCAAUUUCAAAAAAAGAUCAUUAUAAAAAGGAUGUCGUAUGGGGAAGUUAUGGCAGAUCUUACUCCCAAACUUUAUCCAAACCUAGCCGAAGUGAUCAAACUGGUCCACAAUGGAUCCAAUGAUCCUCCUAGGUCAUGGACCAAUAUGUGGCACAUCUAUGUGCCAAUGCAUGGGGUUCAAUGCAUGCCAAGCAUUUGAAUAGCACAAUAUGUGCUGUGUUGGAACCAAAUCAACACUAUACCAAUGCAUGACACUUAAGAAUUAAAACCAAACAUCCAUCGCUACUAGAAUGGGGAACUCUUUGAUAGAAUUUUUGGUUCCACACUAGAAUCUUCACUUAAAUGAAGUCACCUAGCCUCUUAUGAAAUGCUUAUCAAAACUAAACGUAGUUGGAGAAAAGUCUCUUACACCUUUAGAACUCCUUUCUAAUUCAUAUAGUACUGAAUUACAAUAAGGAAAAUAAAUGAAACAAUUAAAAACAACUUUUCUAAGCCUAAUAGCUUGACUAAAGACCUUUCCUAAUAGAGAAAACUAUGAAAAAAUAAAACAAAAAGUUUUUAAAAUUCAUUUCUAAUUCAAAGUAGCCAAGGAAAGGCAAAGUCAUAACUACGUACAAUCCUGUCGACAAAUUUCAACAAAGUAGCCUUUCACUAAGAUGACCAUAUGCCCCUCAUUUAAGUUCUGAUUAACAUGAUUCAAGAUUGCAUUGGCAAGUUGUUUUGAUGCUAAAUACGAUAGAAGUAUUUUGAUUUUAUAAUUCAGCUAGCUUUAGUAAGCAUUCUUUUGGAUUAUGGUGUAUGAAGUUGAUCUUUGAAAGGCUAGCAUUGGAAAGUUGUUUUGAUGCUUAAUACGAUAGAAGUACUUUGAUUUUAUAAUUCAGCUAGCUUUAGUAAGCAUUCUUUUGGAUUAUGGUGUAUGAAGUUGAUCUUUGAAAGGCAGCUAAUCUAUGGUAUAUUUUUCUCAACUAAAACAGCAAUACGUCAACAUUGGUGAGCUAAGGGUCUAACAAGUGAUGCCUGACAACUUUGGUAACUGAUAGAUUCAAUGUGGUCUCAAAGCCAUUAUGAAACCAAUGUUGUUGUGGACCUCUUUUUGGACUCUAAAGCCCUCUUUGGUUCUAGCUUCAUCUCUAGCAUGGAUUAGUAGCAUGUAGAGGACCCUUCACUCACAUCAAACUCCCUGGCUUUAAAAUUUGUCUUUUGAUGAAUUAUUGUGGAAUAAGAUUUGAGAGCUAGCCUUAGCGCAAUAAAAAGAUUCCUCCAUUAUGACCUAGAUGUCACAAAUUCGAAAAAUGGAAACAACCUCUCCCCACGCAACAGUAAGGUUGCGCAAAUCAAACCAUCCCCAGACCCUAGUGUUGGGAAUCUUGUGUACUAGGGAACCCUUUUAGGAUAUGAUGGUCUUUCAACAUGCUUGUGUCAAACACUUCACUAUCAUCAGCUUUCAUGUGUUCCAUCGCUUUCUUGUCCUUUUCCCAUGAUACUUUUGGAUCUAAGCCUUCUCUAUCACAAGCUUUCAGCAUAAUUUCAUUAAUAUAUGGAUUUUGUUUUGAUUCUGGGGUAGUUUUAUACACUUUGAUAGGAAGAAGAUUUUGAUGUAAAUCAUCACUCAACUACGGAGUCAUGCCAUCCGCUCAUAUGGAUUAUUAUUCACGUUGCCUCCACUGCUACCCAAGGAUUGCCGAACCGGUAUCGGGUGCUGUACCGAUCGGCGCCCGGUCCGGUUCGGAUCGGACCGAAUCGAUAUCGAACUGGUCCGUCAAAAAUGCUGCAGCGCGCGCUAUGGCAAAUCUAACUGGAUUCGGUGCAAACCAACUGGUUCGCACCGAGUUCUGGCUGAACUGGACGGAACCGGUCCAGUCCCGUCCGGUUCGCUUUUGUACGAGGCCAGAACCAUUUUAUAUGUCCGAACCGACCCGGUUAUAGACCGGGUCGACUCAGUUCGGCCCGGUUCGGCAUUCCUUACUGUGAUCUUUAUUCUUUUUGGGAUAGUUUUAUACCCUUCGAUAGAAAGAUUUCGAUGUAAAUCAUCACUCAACUACGGAGUCGGCUUCUUGCCAUCCUCUCUUAUGGAUUGUUAUCCAUGUUGCCUCCACCCUCACCCUUAUUCUUAUGAAUCGAUACUAUAGUGUUCUUCCUCCAAUCAUCAGGUAUUUUCCUAGUGUUUAAAAUUUUAUUAAACAAAUCUCCAUAGAGAUUUCAUUAGGCCCAUCUACUUUUCCUAUUUUCAUCUUUUCCAUAGCCUUCUUUAUCUCAAAUACUCUAAUUUUAUUAUAUGUAUAGUUAAUAUUUCUAACCUCAAUGGAACUAGUAAGGCAUCAUAAAUCGUCUACUUGUCUUUCAUUGAAUAGCUUGUCAAAAUAGUUUCUCCAUCUUUCUUUGAUCUCAUCUUUCUCAACUAAAACUUCUUGAUGUUCAUCUUUGAUGUAUUUAACUUAAGUCAAGUCUCUAGUUUUCUUUUCUCCUAGUCUUGCAAUCAUAUAGAUAUUUUUUCCCUUUCCUUAGUUUCUCACUUGUGAAAUAACUUUCCAUACGUCUUGAAUAUAGUCAGUGAAACCUGUUGCCGGAGCCGGAGAUUAAGGAAAGAGAGUGCAAGCGGGGGAGGGAGGGAGUGGGAGAGGGUAGAAGGCCGGCGGAGGGUGGUGGACGCUGGAGGGCCGACGGAGGCCGCGAGAGCGAGGCUGUAGCCGGUUUCCUCUCCCUCCCUCUAUCCCCCUUCUCUCUCUCUUUUCCUCUCUCCCAUGGUCUGCGGAGGGUGGUAGAACCGUUCGAUUUGAGCUUCGUACCGGUGUGAACUGGCUCGGUUCGCACCGGCAUGAGUUCGAACCGGUGCGAACCGAGCAUGGAUCGCACCGGUUCGUUGCUGAAAAUUAGUGCUAGAAGUGCCACAGCGCUGGCCAGAGGGGGUCGAAACCAGGCACCGGUACGGUAUCGGUUCGGCUCGGUUCGGCACCGGUACCGUACCGUUAUCGAAGCCGACCGGUACGUCGGUACGAUCGGUACCGCGAACCUUACUGUGACAACUUCAUGAAUGUUCUCAAGCUCUUGUGUUAGACAUAGUACAGAAUUUAAGUUUGCUAGCAACGUUCACUGUUUUGGUACCAAACUCCGUACCGGUAUCAUUCUAUUACAGUAUCGGUACAUAGUACGGUACGAGACGAUGAGGCAUAUUGAGUGUCAGAAUGAUACGAGAUUGCGUACAUAGUGCGGAGAAGUCGUGUUCGGGCCGGUUCAGCGCAUACCGUACCGGUACCAACCCCAACUGGUAUGAUUCGGCUGUGUACCAGUGCGGACUGGCCCGGUUCGCACCGGCCCAAACAUGACUUCUUCGCACGGUCGUACGCAGGGCAGCGCGCCCUGCGUGGGCCAUUUAAUGCCACUAUGUGGCAUUUAACGCGUCCGUGCGUGGACGCGCGCGAACGCGUUGUUUUUUCGCGCUGCUUUAUUUUUUUCGCAUUCGCGCGCAGACGCCCGAGCAGGAAUCGCACGCCUAGCUCGCGCACACGCGCGAUUCUUCGCGUAGGAAACCGCGCUUGCAGCUGGUUUCCUAGCAAGGAAUCAUGUCCACGCGGGGCAGCGCACCCGCGCAGCCCGUAUGGGCCAUUUAAUGCCACAGAGUGGCAUUUAACGCGUCCGCACACGAACGCGAGUGGACGCAUUUUUUUGCGUUCGCGCGUGAACGCGUGUAGUUUUUUUCGCAUCCGCACGCCGUGUCCGCGCGCGCGUCUCCAGUUCGAUAUUGGACCGAUACCGAACCGGUACCAUAACAGUACUAGUGCCUACCGGUACGUCGGUACCGUCGCUCCGGCGAACCUUGAUACCAGUGCAGUAUGGUAUGCGCGGUAUGGCAAAUCUUAAUGUGGUACAGCAAAUCUUGAUUGCUAGCUUUUGUUGCUUGUAAUACUUUGAUCCUUAUGCAAAUAAAAAAGCAAAAUCUUACUUGUAUACAAGGUAGUCACAAGGAUCUUUCUUGUUUUCUAAAUCAUAAGCAUGUUAAAUGGAUGAAGCUGCUAAAAUGUAGCACCUUUUAAAAAAUAUAGAUCGUUGAAUUUAAGAAGUGGAUGCAUGUGUUUGUGAAGACAGUUCUUGAUUGAAAUCUACAUUCCUGUCUGUAAUGAAGCUGACCUUUUAGUUAUUUCUGAAAAGGAUUGUAGAUAUCUAAUUACUUGAUUCAACACAUCAUGUUUACAGAGUCCAAGCUCGUGAAUGGCUUCAUUCAUAAGAUUGAACCUUUUUUCCUAAAUCAAAUAAUAAUUUUUGUAAAAUCAUUGUUGGUGAUUUGGCAUGCGGCUUUGAAAUCAAACUUAUUGUGCAAUGCCCCAGAAAAUACAUAUGAUAGCAAAAAAAUAAACUUAGAAAGUAGUAGCAUACAACAUCAAACCUAAAUUAUAUUUUUCAAGGUUUUUAGUCUUAGAGGUCAGGUCGAGAUGUUGCACCCCCAUACCAGCACAUGGUACACUACUGGAGGCAACAUAACAGUUGCACAUGUGUUGAGAUACUAUCGUAUUGAGUCCCUCUAAUGUACCAAUACAUUAUUGGGUCAGUAUGAUGCCCAGUACCAAGUGGGUUCAAAAAAACUUAUUUUUUUAUUAAUAAAUAAUUGUUGGUUGCACAUAUAUAUGUAAGGGCAAGAGAGACUUUCUAUAGGUGUAGAAUACAAAAUUACAAAUGAUGCAUGGUCAUAGACAUAAAGAAUUUUCAGAAGAGAAAAUUUGAGAAAGCAUAUUUCUUAUAGAAUAUCAAUACUCUAAUUUAUACUUCAAAAUAUUAAUAUAUUAAAUUGAGAUUUUAUUCAAAUAUUUAUGAACUGCUCAUACUACACUUUGAUGCUGGCUUUAAGGAAUAUUUCUUGUAGAAUUUAACUUUUUUUCAUUUUUAUAUUGUUAAUUACUAGUACCUAAAGAACUAAAUUAUGUGCUCUGUUCUUUCUAGUUGUGGCAAAGGGAGGCAGAAAGCUUAAGGGAGCAGCUGCAUAACUUACAAGAAAAUCAUCGGUACCAUCUCUUAACCUCGUUCACAUUCAAAGAUUGUUCCUAUGCCUGACUAGCCAUUGGCACUAUUCCCUUAGACAUCAUACCAUAAAGAAAAGAUUUAACUAUAUAACCAUCUAUUUUGUUAGAAAAAUAGUGUUAUUCAACAUGACGUAGACUUUCAAGCUUGUUUGAGUAUAACUAAUUCCCUCAUGGAAAAAUUUAAAAAUUUUCACCCAAUUCCAGGGAUCUAGAGCAUCAAGAUCAUUAGGAAAAUAAUAUGUAAACUAGUGAAAACAUCAAAUUUUGUAAAUGACUAGAAAUGAAGUAUAAAAAGUAUUUCUUAAGACUAAUCACAUGAAGCAACAUUUUCGUUUUUAAACACCACCUUGUCUUGUUGUUUACCAUAUUGUAUGCAUUGAAUAAAUCAUUAAUUGCAUCAUUAGUUAUUGACAAAAGAGCAGGUUACUGAACUUCCAAUAGUAUGUCAAGAUUUAGACAGCAUAAAACAGAUGGUACAUCUAAGGACUUCAUUUCUCACUUCAAUACCCAUGGACAAAGAAUUGGUCCACAAGCCCACAGUUCACAAAAACAGUGACAACUGCUGCUUCCACCAUGGCAACUAACCUGUAACUAUCAACUUCAUAUAAAAUUAUUAUUUGCUUCAAUUAUCAAAUUGAACCUCGGCAUUUUUUAUCCAAACAUAUAGCUUGGGCAGGAGCAAAUGGUGGACAGUGGCUUGAGUGCUUGUGAAAACAGUAAAUGUGCCUAAAAACAACCUAGUAAUAAAAUUCUCUGACAUUGACAAUUUUCCAAUUAUUCUCAAUUAAGGUUUUCCCUAAAUUUUUACUGACUUAAUGAAAUCCAUGCUUGCCAAAUAUAUAGUGCCUUCUAUGAAUAACUUUUUUUUUUUGCAAAUAUUUCAUAGAACAUUUCAUUUCUUUUUCUAAAGUUCUCCACUUGUUUUAUUUUUCUUUUUAUUAUCAUUCAGUCUUCAUUUCUAUUCAUUCACUUUUCAAUCCUCAACAUAUUCCAAAGGUUUUCCAAAAUGUAUAGUAGAUUAUAAAUUUUUUCCUUGAUAAUAUAUUCUUGAAUAACUAUGCCUAAAAAGUAUACAGACACUAAAACAUAUUAGAAGUCAAGAUAAAACAAACGUUUCCUCCUACUAGUAUACUGUGUAAUGCAAGGCUCGCCGUCUUAGUACCAGACCCAUACCGGUGCCAUGCUAGCACUAUUGGUUCGGUGCGGUACGGUACGGGGUGUUGUCGGCAUGCCGAAUGUCGGUAUGCAUCCCGUAUCGUGUACCAAUACUGAACUGGUAUGGUAUGAUAUGCCCCGUACUGCCCUGUUCGGCCAGUACGGCAAACCCAUAAUAAUGUAAUGUAGAAUACUCAAUAAGCUACACAUACUAUUUGAUUUCGCUUAUGGAUCCUUCUUUUUGAAACAUUCUUUUUAUUUUAGUGAUUGUUGUUAUUGAUAUGUAAUAACAGUACCAGAAUUUAAAAUCUAUGACAUUACAUAUUUAUAGAAUGGGAUUAUCACAUUGAUCUAGUAGCUUUAUUACUAUUCCUAAAGUUGUGCCUCACCCCCCAAGAAACCAUGCUUCUAUAUAAAUAAAAAGAACACAGUUCUGACUGGUCUUUUCUGUUAUCUAAUUUUUACGAGUUGAGAAUCAGACUCUAUGACAUCAUGAACUGCUCCAAUUUCAAUGUCUAAAAUUGCAAACCCCCAGAAUGCUAUAGAAUACAUGAUCAUGUGAAACACUGCUUGGAUAGACCAAAUUACCGUGAAGAUUUCUUAGAGUUUCACCAAGGGUGGACUACCAAGAGUGCAAUCAGAAAUCAAUCUUAUUUUGCCUAUAGGAUCUGAGAAUAGCUGUUCUGGAAGAAAGUGAAAGCAAGACUCGGAGAACUGCUUCAGUACUUCAAUUCCAGAGUCUCAGCCUCCCAGCAUAUAAUGCUAAUAGCAGCAGCUGGAACAAUCUUUUGGAUAGGAGCACUGAGAUCCUAAAUACUUUUUUUCAUCUCAGGCAUCGCAAUUUAGGAUUUUGUCCCCAUUUUACUUUGGUGGUAGCUUGGAUAUUAAAAGAGUACAAGGCUUAUACUCAGCCAUACCUUGGUACAAGCUUUAAUAGAUAAUUUCUGGUUGUAUACUUCAUGCAGAGAAUAAGGUUGUUAGAGAAUUCUUUGAUAUGAAUUUCUUACAAAGAAGUCUAUGUGAUGUUCUUGCCAUGGAACAUAAGGGAGCUGAGGUGUCAAUUUUGGACGUCAUAGCCCAAUUACUUAAGAAUUUACAAAAUUGUGAUUUAGAAGGAUCACGAGUUCUAUUGUGGACCAAUUUAGCCACUUGGGGUAGGUCUAGACAAGGUUUGAGAGCAAUAUCCACCACAUCCAGAACUUGAUCGUGAAGUGUAACUUCCGAAGGCCAUAACUUUCUCGUAUGAUCUCCAGUUUCAACAUGUCAUGCGCAAAACAAAGCCCUUGACAAGUACUAUGAGGAUGCAACAAGGUUGUCACACCCCUAUGGGUGUUCUACAAUAUUGGGGCCUCAAAAUGGGCCGAUCAAAGUAAAACAUUUCUUUUAAGAUAAGACUUUGAACAAAAGCAUCUUCUAAUCUGUAAGAAAUUAGGCGAAGGACAAAAGGCAAAGUUGAUGUAGAAGUCGAGAUCUCAUUCCUAGAUGAGUUUUAUCUUAAUAUAAUUGUCACAACCCAGAACCUCACCUAAAAAGACUAGCUGGAAGGUGUUAUUUGGAUUUCAUGGCCUUGUAACAAGCAUCCACAAUCUACCCAGCAUUCUAGCUAGGUAAAUCACCUCCAGCCCACCCAUAUUUUUUAAAAAAUCCAAUAAAUACUUAAUGUUAGGUUAAAAAAAACUUGGGGAUUUAUGAUGCACCUAACAAUAUUUGAUCACUAGGUUUAUGCUCUAUGGCAUAAAUUUAGGACCAAAAUCAAGGAAAUUUGGGUUUCUGGCUUGAACCCCAAAACUCACUCAAAGGAAAAAAAAAGGUUUUAGAGGUAUCUCUAAUUCCAGAUUAUUCUGUCAAAAACAUGCAACAUAAAAACUUCAGCACACAUCAAAAACCAUGGCUAGAGAGUACUUAAAUCAACAUUGUUGCCAUACUUUUCUUAAAAAACAUAGCAUUAAGACAACAAAACAUAAGAAAAAUACAAAAUAGAAUAGUUUCAUAGCAUAAAUAGGCCAUACCAUCUGACCAUGCAAAGCAUAUCAAUCAAUACCCUCUGCUAACAUGAUGUAUCCCAUACCAAACCUUCAUCGAUAUGAGGUUUGAUAUUCGAUAAUUUGCAUC